UACCGGCAGUCCGAGUGAUGGCCGAUCUUAUUGGGCCUAAAGCGUCCGUAGCUGGCUGAACAAGUCCGUUGGGAAAUCUGUCCGCUUAACGGGCAGGCGUCCAGCGGAAACUGUUCAGCUUGGGACCGGAAGACCUGAGGGGUACGUCUGGGGUAGGAGUGAAAUCCUGUAAUCCUGGACGGACCGCCGGUGGCGAAAGCGCCUCAGGAGAACGGAUCCGACAGUGAGGGACGAAAGCUAGGGUCUCGAACCGG
rnacentral:rRNA from 1 species